rnacentral:rRNA from 1 species
AACGAACGUUGGCGGCGUGGAUUAGGCAUGCAAGUCGAACGAAUCCCCGGGAGCUUGCUCUCGGGGGGAAGUGGCGAAAGGGGCAGUAAUGCAUGGAUAAUCUACCCUGAUGACCGGGAUAGCUGUCCCAACGGGCAGGUAAUACCGGAUGAGCUGGCGGUGCCGCAUGGUACUGCCAGGAAAGGCGCAAGCCGUGUCGGGAGGAAUCCAUGUGAUAUUAGCUAGUUGGUGGGGUAACGGCUCACCAAGGCGAAGAUGUCUAGCGGGUGUGAGAGCACGACCCGCGCCAUUGGCACUGAGACACUGGCCAGACUCCUACGGGAGGCUGCAGUCGAGGAUCUUCGGCAAUGGGCGCAAGCCUGACCGAGCGACGCCGCGUGAGCGAUGAAGGCCAUUAGGUUGUAAAGCUCUGUCGAGGGGGAGCAAGCCGCAAGGUUGAGCGAUCCCUGGAGGAAGCACGGGCUAAGUUCGUGCCAGCAGCCGCUGUAACAC